rnacentral:rRNA from 1 species
AGUGAACGCUGGCGGUAGGCCUAACACAUGCCAGUCGAACGGCAGCACAGUAAGAGCUUGCUCUUACGGGUGGCGAGUGGCGGACGGGUGAGGAAUACAUCGGAAUCUACUUUUUCGUGGGGGAUAACGUAGGGAAACUUACGCUAAUACCGCAUACGACCUACGGGUGAAAGCAGGGGAUCUUCGGACCUUGCGCGAUUGAAUGAGCCGAUGUCGGAUUAGCUAGUUGGCGGGGUAAAGGCCCACCAAGGCGACGAUCCGUAGCUGGUCUGAGAGGAUGAUCAGCCACACGGGAACUGAGACACGGUCCAGACUCCUACGGGAGGCAGCAGUGGGGAAUAUUGGACAAUGGGCGCGAGCCUGAUCCAGCCAUACCGCGUGGGUGAAGAAGGCCUUCGGGUUGUAAAGCCCUUUUGUUGGGAAAGAAAAGCAGCAGGUUAAUACCCCGCUGUUCUGACGGUACCCAAAGAAUAAGCACCGGCUAACUUCGUG